rnacentral:rRNA from 1 species
GAUGAACGCUAGCGGCAGGCUUAACACAUGCAAGUCGAGGGGCAGCAUAGAGUGUAGCAAUACAUUUGGUGGCGACCGGCGGACGGGUGCGUAACGCGUAUGCAACUUACCCAUUACAGGGGGAUAACGCUGAGAAAUUGGCACUAAUACCCCAUAAUAUCGAGAGAGGCAUCUUUUUUGGUUGAAAGAUUUAUUGGUAAUGGAUGGGCAUGCGUUGUAUUAGAUAGUUGGUAGGGUAACGGCCUACCAAGUCGACGAUACAUAGGGGGACUGAGAGGUUAACCCCCCACACUGGUACUGAGACACGGACCAGACUCCUACGGGAGGCAGCAGUGAGGAAUAUUGGUCAAUGGGCGCAAGCCUGAACCAGCCAUGCCGCGUGCAGGAAGACGGCUCUAUGAGUUGUAAACUGCUUUUGUACGAGGGUAAUAGUGCGCACGUGUGCGUAUUUGAAAGUAUCGUACGAAUAAGGAUCGGCUAACUCCGUGCCAGCCGCCGCAGUAACAC